rnacentral:rRNA from 1 species
AUUGAACGCUGGCGGCAUGCCUUACACAUGCAAGUCGGACGGCAGCACGGGAGCAAUCCUGGUGGCGAGUGGCGAACGGGUGAGUAAUGUAUCGGAACGUGCCCAGUCGUGGGGGAUAACGUAGCGAAAGCUACGCUAAUACCGCAUACGAUCUAUGGAUGAAAGCGGGGGACCGUAAGGCCUCGCGCGUUUGGAGCGGCCGAUAUCAGAUUAGGUAGUUGGUGGGGUAAAGGCCUACCAAGCCGACGAUCUGUAGCUGGUCUGAGAGGACGACCAGCCACACUGGGACUGAGACACGGCCCAGACUCCUACGGGAGGCAGCAGUGGGGAAUUUUGGACAAUGGGCGCAAGCCUGAUCCAGCAAUGCCGCGUGCAGGAUGAAGGCCUUCGGGUUGUAAACUGCUUUUGUACGGAGCGAAAAGGCUCUCUCUAAUACAGGGGGCUCAUGACGGUACCGUAAGAAUAAGCACCGGCUAACUACGUGCCAGCCGCCGCCGUAACAC